AGUGAACGCUGGCGGUAGGCCUAACACAUGCCAGUCGAACGGCAGCACAGUAAGAGCUUGCUCUUACGGGUGGCGAGUGGCGGACGGGUGAGGAAUACAUCGGAAUCUACUUUUUCGUGGGGGAUAACGUAGGGAAACUUACGCUAAUACCGCAUACGACCUACGGGUGAAAGCAGGGGAUCUUCGGACCUUGCGCGAUUGAAUGAGCCGAUGUCGGAUUAGCUAGUUGGCGGGGUAAAGGCCCACCAAGGCGACGAUCCGUAGCUGGUCUGAGAGGAUGAUCAGCCACACUGGAACUGAGACACGGUCCAGACUCCUACGGGAGGCAGCAGUGGGGAAUAUUGGACAAUGGGCGCAAGCCUGAUCCAGCCAUACCGCGUGGGUGAAGAAGGCCUUCGGGUUGUAAAGCCCUUUUGUUGGGAAAGAAAUCCAGCCGGCUAAUACCUGGUUGGGAUGACGGUACCCAAAGAAUAAGCACCGGCUAACUUCGUG
rnacentral:rRNA from 1 species